rnacentral:piRNA from 1 species
UGGUUCAUGAAACUCAAGAAGGAAGACCAA